UACGUAGGGUGCAAGCGUUGUCCGGAAUUAUUGGGCGUAAAGAGCUCGUAGGCGGUUUGUUGCGUCGGCUGUGAAAUCCCGAGGCUCAACCUCGGGUCUGCAGUCGAUACGAGCAAACUAGAGUGUUGCAGGGGAGACUGGAAUUCCUGGUGUAGCGGUGGAAUGCGCAGAUAUCAGGAGGAACACCGGUGGCGAAGGCGGGUCUCUGGGCCGUAACUGACGCUGAGGAGCGAAAGCAUGGGAGCGAACAGG
rnacentral:rRNA from 1 species